rnacentral:rRNA from 1 species
UGAGGAAUAUUGGGUCAAUGGACGAGAGUCUGAACCAGCCAAGUAGCGUGUAGGAUGACGGCCCUCCGGGUUGUAAACUGCUUUUAGUUGGGAAUAAAGUUCGGGACGUGUCCCGAUUUGUAUGUACCAUCAGAAAAAGGACCGGCUAAUUCCGUGCCAGCAGCCGCGGUAAUACGGAAGGUCCGGGCGUUAUCCGGAUUUAUUGGGUUUAAAGGGAGCGCAGGCGGGCUUUUAAGUCAGUUGUGAAAUACGGCGGCUCAACCGUCGGACUGCAGUUGAAACUGGAAGUCUUGAGUUCACACAGGGAUGCCGGAAUUCAUGGUGUAGCGGUGAAAUGCUCAGAUAUCAUGAAGAACUCCGAUCGCGAAGGCAGGCAUCCGGGGUGUUACUGACGCUGAGGCUCGAAAGUGCGGGUAUCAAACAGGAUUAGAUACCCUGGUAGU